GCAUAUCAAUAAGCGGAGGAAAAGAAAAUAACAAUGAUUUCCCUAGUAACGGCGAGUGAAGAGGAAAGAGCUCAAAGUUGGAAACUGUUUGGCUUAGCUAAACCGUAUUGUAAACUGUAGAAACAUUUUCCUGGCACACCAGAUUAAUAAGUCCUUUGGAACAAGGCAUCAUGGAGGGUGAGAAUCCCGUCUUUGAUCUGAGUAGUUGUCUUUUGUGAUAUGUUUUCAAAGAGUCAGGUUGUUUGGGAAUGCAGCCUAAAUUGGGUGGUAAAUCUCACCUAAAGCUAAAUAUUUGCGAGAGACCGAUAGCGAACAAGUACCGUGAGGGAAAGAUGAAAAGAACUUUGAAAAGAGAGUUAAACAGUAUGUGAAAUUGUUAAAAGGGAACCGUUUGGAGCCAGACUGGUUUGACUGUAAUCAACCUAGAAUUCGUUUUGGGUGCACUUGCAGUCUAUACCUGCCAACAACAGUUUGAUUUGGAGGAAAAAAUUAGUAGGAAUGUGGCCUUUCGAGGUGUUAUAGCCUACUAUCAUACUCUGGAUUGGACUGAGGAACGCAGCGAAUGCCAUUAGGCGAGAUUGCUGGGUGCUUUCGCUAAUAAAUGUUAGAAUUUCUGCUUCGGGUGGUGCUAAUGUUUAAAGGAGGAACACAUCUAGUAUAUUUUUUAUUCGCUUAGGUUGUUGGCUUAAUGACUCUAAAUGACCCGUCUUGAAACACGGACCAAGGAGUCCACCAUAAGUGCAAGUAUUUGAGUGACAAACUCAUAUGCGUAAGGAAACUGAUUGAUACGAAGUCUUACGAUGGCAGUAUCACCCGGCGUUGACGUUUUAUACUGAACUGACCGAGGUAAAGCACUUAUGAUGGGACCCGAAAGAUGGUGAACUAUGCCUGAAUAGGGUGAAGCCAGAGGAAACUCUGGUGGAGGCUCGUAGCGAUUCUGACGUGCAAAUCGAUCGUCAAAUUUGGGUAUAGGGGCGAAAGACUAAUCGAACCAUCUAGUAGCUGGUUCUGCG
rnacentral:rRNA from 1 species